rnacentral:rRNA from 1 species
UACGGGGGGGGCAAGCGUUGUUCGGAAUUACUGGGCUUAAAGAGUUCGUAGGCGGCGCAGAAAGUAGGGUGUGAAAGCCCUCGGCUCAACCGAGGAAUUGCGCUCUAAACUACUGUGCUUGAGGAAGCUAGAGGUGAGCGGAACUGAUGGUGGAGCGGUGAAAUGCGUUGAUAUCAUCAGGAACACCGGAGGCGAAGGCGGCUCACUGGGGCUUUUCUGACGCUGAGGAACGAAAGCCAGGGGAGCGAACGGG